GAAGUCGGAAUCGCUAGUAAUCGCAGAUCAGCAUUGCUGCGGUGAAUACGUUCCCGGGCCUUGUACACACCGCCCGUCACACCAUGGGAGUGGGUUGCUCCAGAAGUAGCUAGUCUAACCCUCGGGAGGACGGUUACCACGGAGUGAUUCAUGACUGGGGUGAAGUCGUAACAAGGUAGCCGUAUCGGAAGGUGCGGCUGGAUCACCUCCUUUAGA
rnacentral:rRNA from 1 species